GCCGCGGAGGCCGUGGACCACCUAGUGGAUGCCUUUCGGGGAGGCAUCAGGUGGAGAUCUGGCAAGAGAAGAAGGAGAAAAUAUCGAAGAAGAUGAUCGAAGACAAUCCUGUUGAGUACUCUUUUAAGAAUAAGGGUACUGCGAAGACACAGGGCCCUUCCUCUAGCGCCAAUUCUGUUGGUGCAGAAUUUCGCUGAUGUCGGAGAAGCUGGAGUCGAGGG
rnacentral:lncRNA from 1 species